UGAAUUGUUGACUAAUAGGUAAGUCCCCUAGAUUUGAGUUAGGUCUAUGAAAGUUCGAAUCUUUCCAAUUCAA
rnacentral:tRNA from 1 species